AAACACAUUAUCCUACAACACAGC
rnacentral:siRNA from 1 species